rnacentral:rRNA from 1 species
CCAAUAGCGUAUAUUAAAGUUGUUGCAGUUAAAAAGCUCGUAGUUGAAUUUCAGGCCUGGCUGGGCGGUCCGCCUUUUGGGUGAGUACUGCCUGUGGUCGGGUCCUACCUUCUGGCGAAGCGUCAUGGCCUUAACCGGCCGUGGCGGGGAACCAGGACUUUUACUGUGAAAAAAUUAGAGGGUUCAAAGCAGGCAUUCGCUUGAAUACAUUAGCAUGGAAUAAUGGAAUAGGAAAGUGGUUCUAUUUGUUGGUUUCUAGGACCGUUGUAAUGAUUAAUAGGGAUAGUUGGGGGCAUUAGUAUUCAAUUGUCAGAGGUGAAAUUCUUGGAUUUAUUGAAGACUAACUACUGCGAAAGCAUUUGCCAAGGAUGUUUUCAUUAAUCAAGAACGAAAGUUAGGGGAUCGAAGACGAUCAGAUACCGUCGUAGCCUUAACCAUAAACUAUGCCGACUAGGGAUCGGAUGAUGUUAAUUUUUUAAUGACUCAUUCGGCGCCUUACG